AUGCUCUUCCCGUUCUCCAUCGUGGUGCAGGAUCAAGGUGAAAAGGAGAACCCUAUGUGGAACUUGGCAUCCACAAGCUCUGUCUCAACAUCUGUGUUGGGGAGAGUGGAGACAGACUGACCCGAGCAGCCAAGGUGUUGGUGCAGCUCACAAGGCAGGCUCCUGUGUUUUCCAAAGCUAGAUACACUGUCAGAUCCUCUGGCAUCCAGAAAAAUGAAAAGAUUGCUGUCCACUGCACAGUUCGAGGGACCAAGGCAGAAGAAAUCUUGGAGAAGGGUCUAAAGGUGCAGGAGUAUGAGUUAAGAAAAAAUAACUUCUCCAAUACUGGAAACUUUGGUUUUGGGAUCCAGGAAAAUGUCGAUCUGGCUAUCAAAUAUGACGCAAGCAUUGGUAUCUACGGCCUGGACUUCUAUGUAGUGCUGGGUAGGUUUCAGCAUCACAGACAAGAAGCGCAGGACAGUCUGCGUUAGGGCCAAACACAGAAUCUGCAAAGAGGAGGCCAUCUGUUGUUCCAGCAGAAGCGUGAUGGGAUCAUUCUUCCUGGGAAAUAA